rnacentral:rRNA from 1 species
UACGAAGGGAGCUAGCGUUGUUCGGAAUCACUGGGCGUAAAGCGCACGUAGGCGGAUGUGUCAGUCAGGGGUGAAAUCCCGGAGCUCAACUUCGGAACUGCCUUUGAUACAGCACGUCUUGAGUCCGAUAGAGGUGGGUGGAAUUCCGGGUGUAGUGGUGAAAUGCGUAGAUAUCCGGAGGAACACCAGUGGCGAAAGCGGCCACCUGGACUGCACCUGACGCUGACACGCGAAAGCUAGGGGAGCGAACGGG